rnacentral:rRNA from 1 species
GCGCACGGGUGAGUAACGCGUGGGUAAUCUACCUCCGAAUUGGGGAUAACAUUGCGAAAGCGGUGCUAAUACCGAAUAAUAUCCCUGAGACUCCGGUCUUGGUGAUCAAAGGUGGCCUCUACAUGUAAGCUACUGUUUGGAGAUGAGCCCGCGUACCAUUAGCUUGUUGGUAGGGUAACGGCCUACCAAGGCUGCGAUGGUUAGCUGGUCUGAGAGGAUGAUCAGCCACACUGGAACUGACACACGGUCCAGACUCCUACGGGAGGCAGCAGUGAGGAAUUUUGCGCAAUGGGGGAAACCCUGACGCAGCAACGCCGCGUGAGUGAUGAAGGCCUUCGGGUCGUAAAGCUCUGUCAAGUGGGAAGAAUCUGUCUGGUGAUAAUACCACCGGGCACUGACGGUACCACUGAAGGAAGCACCGGCUAACUCCGUGCCAGCAGCCGCGGUAAUACGGGGGGUGCAAGCGUUAUUCGGAAUCAUUGGGCGUAAAGGGCGCGUAGGCGGUCUUUUAAGUCAGAUGUGAAAUCCCUCGGCUUAACCGAGGAAGUGCAUUUGAUACUAAGAGACUUGAGUAUGGGAGAGGGAAGCGGAAUUCCUGGUGUAGCGGUGAAAUGCGUAGAUAUCAGGAGGAACACCGGUGGCGAAGGCGGCUUCCUGGACCAAUACUGACGCUGAGGCGCGAAGGCGUGGGGAGCAAACAGGAUUAGAUACCCUGGUAGUCCACGCAGUAAACUGUGAACACUAGGUGUAGCGGGUAUUGACCCCCGCUGUGCCGAAGCUAACGCAUUAAGUGUUCCGCCUGGGAAGUACGGCCGCAAGGUUAAAACUCAAAGGAAUUGA